AACGAACGCUGGCGGCAGGCUUAACACAUGCAAGUCGAACGCACCUUCGGGUGAGUGGCGCACGGGUGAGUAACGCGUGGGAACGUACCCUUUAGUAUGGAAUAGCUCCGGGAAACUGGAAUUAAUACCGUAUACGCCCUUCGGGGGAAAGAUUUAUCGCUAAAGGAUCGGCCCGCGUGACAUUAGAUUGUUGGUGGGGUAAUGGCCUACCAAGUCUACGAUGUCUAGCUGGUCUGAGAGGAUGAUCAGCCACACUGGAACUGAGACACGGUCCAGACUCCUACGGGAGGCAGCAGUGGGGAAUAUUGGACAAUGGGCGCAAGCCUGAUCCAGCCAUGCCGCGUGUGUGAUGAAGGCCUUAGGGUUGUAAAACACUUUUAUGAGGGAAGAUGAAGACGGUACCUCAAGAAUAAGCUCCGGCUAACUUCG
rnacentral:rRNA from 1 species